UGGGGAAUUUUGGACAAUGGGCGAAAGCCUGAUCCAGCAAUGCCGCGUGUGUGAAGAAGGCCUUCGGGUUGUAAAGCACUUUUGUCCAGAAAGAAAUCCUUGGCUCUAAUACAGUCGGGGGAUGACGGUACCGGAAGAAUAAGCACCGGCUAACUACGUGCCAGCAGGCCGCGGUAAUACGUAGGGUGCAAGCGUUAAUCGGAAUUACUGGGGCGUGAAAAGCGUGCGCAGGCGGUUUGCUAAGACCGAUGUGAAAUCCCCGGGCUCAACCUGGGAACUGCAUUGGUGACUGGCAGGCUAGAGUAUGGCAGAGGGGGGUAGAAUUCCACGUGUAGCAGUGAAAUGCGUAGAGAUGUGGAGGAAUACCGAUGGCGAAGGCAGCCCCCUGGGCCAAUACUGACGCUCAUGCACGAAAAGCGUGGGGGAGC
rnacentral:rRNA from 1 species